UUGCUCGGUUUACAAGCAAUCCUAUCACUCCACACAAACACAUAAUUUCCCCUUUGUUAUCUUUGCUUCCUUCAGACAAACAUGAUUCACUGAAGAAAUAAUAAUGAACUGUCACCUUGGAGGUAACGGCUGCCUGCGCUGUGGAGGUGGGAGUGUGCCAAGGCCGGAGAUGAGUGCAGUAGUAGCAAGUUACAAGAACUACGAGAAAUGAAGAAGGCCAGUAUUCACUGAAUUCAUCAUGGCUUUGGCGGGGGGUA